rnacentral:rRNA from 1 species
UACGUAGGCAGCAAGCGUUGUUCGGAGUUACUGGGCGUAAAGGGUGUGUAGGCGGUUCUUUAAGUUUGGUGUGAAAUCUCCCGGCUCAACCGGGAGGGUGCGCCGAAUACUGAGGGACUAGAGUGCGGGAGAGGAAAGUGGAAUUCCUGGUGUAGCGGUGAAAUGCGUAGAUAUCAGGAGGAACACCGGUGGGGUAGACGGCUUUCUGGACCGUAACUGACGCUGAGACACGAAAGCGUGGGUAGCAAACAGG